UCAGUCUGAACCCUGACUUUCUCUCUCUGGAAUUGGACUUUCACUCUCUACUUUCUCUCUCUAUAAUUUUCUCUCUCUAGCUUGUUUCUCUCUCUCUUGAUGGAUUUCUCUCUCUAAAGUUAUCCUUCUAAGAUUAGCAUAGGGGAAGGCUGCAUCUGAUGAUUCUGAUCGAGUUUAGAGACGAGUCUGAUUUUAAGAGAGAUUUUGAUUUUGGGAUUUGUUAGAUUUAAUUUUGAAUUAAAAUUAAUGUAAAAAUAUAAUUUUGGAUAAUAGGCACGGAAGAAUCUCCUAGAAAUUAGUCGAUCCGUUCAUUCAGUGCUCCGUGAAAGGUAAGUAAUGAAUCAUCUUCUCGAGAUAUUCCAUAUUUAUUAUGAAAAUAAAUAAUUAUUCUCUGAAAUUAUGCAUGAUUUAUGAAAUUAUAUUUUUAAAGAAAAGUGCUUUUG
rnacentral:lncRNA from 1 species